rnacentral:rRNA from 1 species
CAGCAGCCGCGGUAAUACGUAGGGUGCAAGCGUUAAUCGGAAUUACUGGGCGUAAGGCGUGCGCAGGCGGUUCGUUAAGACAGGUGUGAAAUCCCCGGGCUUAACCUGGGAACUGCGCUUGUGACUGCACAGCUAGAGUAUGGCAGAGGGGGGUGGAAUUCCACGUGUAGCAGUGAAAUGCGUAGAGAUGUGGAGGAACACCGAUGGCGAAGGCAGCCCCCUGGGCCAAUACUGACGCUCAUGCACGAAAGCGUGGGGAGCAAACAGGAUUAGAUACCCCUGUAGUCCCUGUCUCUUAUAA